GACAGAGGGUGCAAACGUUGUUCGGAAUUACUGGGCGUAAAGCGCGUGUAGGCGGCAGGGCAAGUCGGAUGUGAAAGCCCACGGCUCAACCGUGGAAGUGCACCCGAAACUGCCCAGCUAGAGUCUCGGAGAGGAAGGUGGAAUGCUUGGUGUAGAGGUGAAAUUCGUAGAUAUCAAGCGGAACACCGGUGGCGAAGGCGGCUUCCUGGCCUGUUCUUGACGCUGAGGCGCGAAAGCUAGGGGAGCAAACGGG
rnacentral:rRNA from 1 species